rnacentral:rRNA from 1 species
CGCAAGCCUGAUGGAGCAACACCGCGUGAGUGAAGAAGGGUUUCGGCUCGUAAAGCUCUGUUGUUAAAGAAGAACACGUAUGAGGGUAACUGUUCAUACGUUGACGGUAUUUAACCAGAAAGUCACGGCUAACUACGUGCCAGCAGCCGCGGUAAUACGUAGGUGGCAAGCGUUAUCCGGAUUUAUUGGGCGUAAAGAGAGUGCAGGCGGUUUUCUAAGUCUGAUGUGAAAGCCUUCGGCUUAACCGGAGAAGUGCAUCGGAAACUGGAUAACUUGAGCGCAGAAGAGGGUAGUGGAACUCCAUGUGUAGCGGUGGAAUGCGUAGAUAUAUGGAAGAACACCAGUGGCGAAGGCGGCUACCUGGUCUGCAACUGACGCUGAGACUCGAAAGCAUGGGUAGCGAACAGGAUUAGAUACCCUGGUAG